GCAGUCGAGCGAACAGAUAAGGAGCUUGCUCCUUUGACGUUAGCGGCGGACGGGUGAGUAACACGUGGAUAACCUACCUAUAAGACUGGGAUAACUUCGGGAAACCGGAGCUAAUACCGGAUAACAUAUUGAACCGCAUGGUUCAAUAGUGAAAGGCGGCUUUGCUGUCACUUAUAGAUGGAUCCGCGCCGUAUUAGCUAGUUGGUAAGGUAACGGCUUACCAAGGCAACGAUACGUAGCCGACCUGAGAGGGUGAUCGGCCACACUGGAACUGAGACACGGUCCAGACUCCUACGGGAGGCAGCAGUAGGGAAUCUUCCGCAAUGGGCGAAAGCCUGACGGAGCAACGCCGCGUGAGUGAUGAAGGUCUUCGGAUCGUAAAACUCUGUUAUCAGGGAAGAACAAAUGUGUAAGUAACUGUGCACAUCUUGACGGUACCUGAUCAGAAAGCCACGGCUAACUACGUGCCAGCAGCCGCGGUAAUACGUAGGUGGCAAGCGUUAUCCGGAAUUAUUGGGCGUAAAGCGCGCGUAGGCGGUUUUUUAAGUCUGAUGUGAAAGCCCACGGCUCAACCGUGGAGGGUCAUUGGAAACUGGAAAACUUGAGUGCAGAAGAGGAAAGUGGAAUUCCAUGUGUAGCGGUGAAAUGCGCAGAGAUAUGGAGGAACACCAGUGGCGAAGGCGACUUUCUGGUCUGUAACUGACGCUGAUGUGCGAAAGCGUGGGGAUCAAACAGGAUUAGAUACCCUGGUAGUCCACGCCGUAAACGAUGAGUGCUAAGUGUUAGGGGGUUUCCGCCCCUUAGUGCUGCAGCUAACGCAUUAAGCACUCCGCCUGGGGAGUACGACCGCAAGGUUGAAACUCAAAGGAAUUGACGGGGACCC
rnacentral:rRNA from 1 species